CCUUCGAUAGCUCAGUUGGUAGAGCGGUGGACUGUAGAAUGGCCUCACGGCACAAGUAGAAAUCCAUAGGUCGCUGGUUCGACUCCGGCUCGAAGGA
rfam:Lutzomyia longipalpis Contig8365, whole genome shotgun sequence.